rnacentral:rRNA from 1 species
ACGAAGGGGGCUAGCGUUGUUCGGAAUUACUGGGCGUAAAGGGCGCGUAGGCUGUGCUGUAAGUCAGGCGUGAAAGGCCCGGGCUCAACCUGGGAACUGCGCAUGAUACUGCGGCGCUUGAAGACGGGAGAGGAUGGCGGAAUUCCCAGUGUAGAGGUGAAAUUCGUAGAUAUUGGGAAGAACACCGGUGGCGAAGGCGGCCAUCUGGCCCGUGAUUGACGCUGAGGCGCGAAAGCGUGGGGAGCAAACAGG